rnacentral:rRNA from 1 species
AUACGGAGGAUGCAAGCGUUAUCCGGAUUUAUUGGGUUUAAAGGGUGCGUAGGCGGGACUGUAAGUCUGGUGUGAAAUACUGGAGCUUAACUGUAGCAUUGCCUUUGAAACUGCCGUUCUUGAGUACAGUUGAGGUAAGCGGAAUGUGGUGUGUAGCGGUGAAAUGCAUAGAUAUACCACAGAACGCCGAUUGCGAAGGCAGCUUACUAAGCUGUUACUGACGCUGAGGCACGAAAGCGUGGGGAUCAAACAGGAUUAGAUACCCUGGUAGUCCACGCUGUAAACGAUGAUUACUGGUUGUUAGCGAUAGAUAGCUAGUGACUGAGCGAAAGCAUUAAGUAAUCCACCUGGGGAGUACGUCGGCAACGAUGAAACUCAAAUGAAUUGACGGGG